CUGGGUGCUCUAAUAAAGGCAAUAUACACUGAUGAGCCACAACAUUAAAAUAACCUACUUAAUGUCAUGUAGGUACCCCUCCUGCUGCCAAAAUAGCUCUGAUGCUUCCAAGCAUGGACCCCACAAGACCUUAGAACGUGUCCUGUUGUAUCUAGCAGUCCCUUUAAGUCCUGCAAGUUGUGAGGUGGAGCCUCCAUGAAUUGGAUUUGUUAUUCCAGCACAUACCACAGAUGCUCAAUCGGAUUUUGAUCUGGAGAAUUUAGAGGCCAAGGCAACACCUUGGACUCUUUGUCAUGUUCCUCAAAUCAUUCCUGAACUAGUUUGUGGCAGGGUGCAUUAUCCAACUGAAAGAGGCCACUGCCAUCAUGGAACACCAUUACCAUCAAGGGGUGUAAGUUGUCUGCAAUGAUCUCUAGGUAGGUGAUACAUGUCAAAGUAACAUCCAGGUGAAUGCCAGGACACAUGGUUUCAAAGAAGAACGUUGCACAGAGCUUAACAUUGCCUCCACUGGCCUGCGUUCUUCCCAUGGUGCAUCCUGCUGCCAUCUCUUCUCCAGGUAAACAACGCACAUGGACCCGGCUAUCCACCUGAUCUAAAUGAAAACUUGAUUCAUCAGACCAGGCAACCUUCUUCCAUUGUUUCAUGGCCCAGUACUGAUGCUAAAGUACCCAUUGAAAGUGCUUUCGAUUGUGGACUGUGACUGGUCUGUAGCUAUGCAGCCACAUACACAGCAAACUACAAUGCACUGUGUGUUCUGAGAUCUUUCUCACAAAGCCAGCAUUAAGUUUUCCAGCU